UAUCAGACCCGGACCGGCCCGGGCGGUUCGAUCGGUCGGAUCGGAAACCGGACCUGUGUCCGGUCCGGUUACCUAAAAAACCGAAAUUGCAUAAAAAAACCGGUGAACCCAGAAAACCGGCCGGUUUUUAAACAAACCCAUCAAACCCAUUCGAAUCGGCCGGUUGAUGGGUUCACGAUUUUUAAGUGAAAUCCGGAUCUCCCGACCCGAGCCCGAAACCAAAUUCGGUGUUCAGUCGCCCAAACUCAACAGAGCAGGAUUGAAUCGAAGAAAAAAUCGAAAGCUGAAGUCUGAAGGUGAAAACCCUAGUCGGCGAUCCUCUUCGAUCUUCCUUCUUCUCGUCAGUGUCGUCACUCUCCGGUCCUAUUAAGUUCAGGCAUCGGCUGAUUCGACUCAUCAGCAACUUCAAUUCGAGGCCGAGCUUCCCUUUCUCAGUCGAGCAACGCAAGAUUGGAACAGGCUGCUGGACAAUGAGUUCUGCUAGUGCCAGCAACAACAAUACACCUACUCCUGAUUCAGGAAGGAGGAACUAAGGAGGAAGAAAAAGAAAAGAAACAGCUAAAGAAAUGUAGUAAUGUACUGAGGAAAGGUUCCUCAAAUAUAUUUCUAAUUUUUAUAUUAUUAUUUUUAAAUAAUAAAUAUUUAUUUAUUUUUUAAUUAAA